ACGCUCCCGUUCCCGAUAUCUCUCCCGCUCCUUGUCCCAAGGUGUCUUGAUUGUGGAGGGUGUAUAAUCCCCAAUGUCUUCGAAAAUACUCCUGUCAGCCUCAGCAGGUUUCUUCUCUUCCAGCUUCCCUUUAUCCUUCUUCUUAAGCUUCUUGUUACGGGUUCCCUGCCUCAGCUGGGUCUUCAUCCUCAUUGUACUCCCUUGGCAUCUCAUGGUGACGUGACUUAGAAGGUGGUGCAGAGGAACACGCAGCCUCUGUCUACUAUGCAAGAGUGGAAGGCUACCGGAGAGUCCAGAAGAUAUGUUAGCUCACUUUUCAUCAUUUAGAUCAAGUCAAAAAGCCUUGUUUGUAACUGCAACAGAGUUGAGAAGUGAAUUUUCUGAGUUUCCAGAAGAAGAAAAGAAUAUGAACACUAUCUUUACCAUUGCCCACUAAUGGGAGAAAUUUUUAAAGUGGCAUAAUGAAUAUCAUCUUUCAAUCCUGCCAAUGUUUCUCUAUGACUGCAUGUAUGAUGUUGGCUGAAAUUUGAGGUCCUUUGUGAAUGUGAGGUCAAGGCCAACUGACCCUAUAUUCCUCUUGCCAAAUCUGUCCCUGGUAGACCAAGAUAAAGUGCAGGAGGUCCAGGAUUACCAUCAAAUAGCAACAACCAACAUGCCUUGUAUAUGUGAGUUUCUGAGACUGCUAUGUCAGUUGUCAAGCACACACUUAAUAUGUAAUUUUGAAUAAAUGUUGGAUGGAGGAGUGACU
rnacentral:lncRNA from 1 species